GACGAACGCUGGCGGCGUGCCUAAUACAUGCAAGUAGAACGCACAGUUUAUACCGUAGCUUGCUACACCAUAGGCUGUGAGUUGCGAACGGGUGAGUAACGCGUAGGUAACCUGCCUGGUAGCGGGGGAUAACUAUUGGAAACGAUAGCUAAUACCGCAUAAUAUUAAUUAUUGCAUGAUAAUUGAUUGAAAGAUGCAACUGCAUCACUACCAGAUGGACCUGCGUUGUAUUAGCUAGUAGGUGAGGUAACGGCUCACCUAGGCGACGAUACAUAGCCGACCGGCGAGGGUGAUCGGCCACACUGGGACGGAGACACGGCCCAGACUCCUACGGGAGGCAGCAGUAGGGAAUCGUCGGCAAUGGACGAAAGUCUGACCGAGCAACGCCGCGUGAGUGAAGAAGGUUUUCGGAUCGUAAAGCUCUGUUGUAAGAGAAGAACGGGUGUGAGAGUGGAAAGUUCACACUGUGACGGUAUCUUACCAGAAAGGGACGGCUAACUACGUG
rnacentral:rRNA from 1 species